rnacentral:misc_RNA from 1 species
UUUCCGUAGGUGAACCUGCGGAAGGAUCAUUACUGAGUUAAAGAAAAAAAGGGGGAAGGGGUUUUGUAUUGAACACCUUUUCUUUUUUUUUUUCCCUUCUCUUCACCCUUUGUUAUUAAUUUCUAAGUUGCUUUGGUAGGUCAAGAUUCAAUUCUACCCUACCAAGGGACCUUUAUUAAACCCUUUGUUAUCCAACAAUUAGGAUGUCUUUUGUCUGAUUCUUAUGACUUUGAAUAAAGUACAUAAAACUUUCAACAACGGAUCUCUUGGUUCUGGCAUCGAUGAAGAACGCAGC